UUAAGCAUCCGUAGAUAAUUGUAAAAGAAAAAGUUAUUCACUUCUACAAUACUUGAGAUAUCUUAAAAAUUGUAACACUUCUCUUGACUCUUAGAAUCUCUAGGUCUUUCUUAUUACUAUUCUCCCCCGAUGUUGAGCCUCAACAGUUUCUAUAAACGACUCAUCAUAUUCGAAUCGCUCUUUUCUUUUCCUAGAUUUCUCCAUCCAAUUUGAUGAUUCCGGCAUCGAGCUUAUGCAGGGCAAGCGGAAACCUUCAUUUUCAGCUGCCAAGCAUUGUUGCAUGUUUCCUUCUUGAAGGGCAAGCCGAAACCUUCAUUGUCAGCUGCCAAGCAUUGUUGCAUGUUUCCUUCUUGAAGGUGGGUACAUGAAGUACCAUGAUCGAUCUCCUGUCUGCAAGUUUGAGCACCCUGAAAGAAGAGCACAGUCAGCACACAUAUCCAUUAAGAUGUUACAACAUUUCUUGAAGUAAAUCCAGAAUUAAGAAGCAAAGAAAGAAGGGAUUUGACCAGGUAAUUCCCAAGGCUCCAACUCGCAGAUGUCUUGUAUUUCAGCAAUAACUUCGAAAAGAGAAUCAUGGUCGAAGGUUUUGAUAUGAAGAUACUCGAUGAGUUCUUCGUCAGUUGGGUGAAAUCUGAACCCUUUCACCAGAUUCAUUCUUUUUCAAGAGAUUGCUGAUAAGAAACCUAAUAAAAAGCUGAAGAAGAUCAAGAUGAAAUAAGAACUUGGGACUCUUCCUUUUGGUGUAUGUGUAAUGUGUAUAUAUAGAAAAUACUCCUUGC